AACGAACGCUGGCGGCAGGCCUAACACAUGCAAGUCGAGCGCCCCGCAAGGGGAGCGGCGGACGGGUGAGUAACGCGUGGGAACGUACCCUUUGCUACGGAAUAGCCUCGGGAAACUGGGAGUAAUACCGUAUGUGCCCUUCGGGGGAAAGAUUUAUCGGCAAAGGAUCGGCCCGCGUUGGAUUAGGUAGUUGGUGGGGUAAUGGCCUACCAAGCCGACGAUCCAUAGCUGGUUUGAGAGGAUGAUCAGCCACACUGGGACUGAGACACGGCCCAGACUCCUACGGGAGGCAGCAGUGGGGAAUCUUAGACAAUGGGCGCAAGCCUGAUCUAGCCAUGCCGCGUGAGCGAUGAAGGCCUUAGGGUUGUAAAGCUCUUUUCAGCCGGAAAGAAAACGCACGGGUUAAUAAUCUGUGUGGAUGACGGUACCGGAAGAAGAAGACACCGGCUAACUACGUGCCAGCAGCCGCGGUAAU
rnacentral:rRNA from 1 species